GAGAAGUUCGUUAUUUGUUUGAGUUUCUGCCUUUUUACGCUGAGAACUGCCGUGACCUAAGGUGGUGUUUGAAUCCAAAGUUCACGGACUAAAAUUUAGCUCCUAAAAUUUAGCCCCUAAAAUUUAGUUUUGCUGGGGUGUUUGGAUCCAUGGGCUAAAUUUUAGUCCUCAUCAAACAACGACUGAUUUGCCCUCCCUCCUCCUCCUUUCCCUCUCUCCUCUCCCCUUCGCCGCUGCUCCCUCCUCA
rnacentral:lncRNA from 1 species